rnacentral:rRNA from 1 species
CCCUUAGAUGUUCUGGGCUGCACGCGCGCUACACUGAUGCAUUCAACGAGUCUAAAACCUGCUCUGAUAGGGGUGGGUAAUCUUUUGAAUGUGCAUCGUGAUUGGGAUAGAUGAUUGAAAUUUUUCAUCUUCAACGAGGAAUGCCUAGUAAACGCAAGUCAUCAGCUUGCAUUGAUUACGUCCCUGCCCUUUGUACACACCGCCCGUCGCUCCUACCGAUUGAAUGAUCCGAUGAAUAUCAUGGAUUGAGGAUGCAAGUAGGUUCACCUAUCUUCAUCUUCGAGAAGUGAAGUAAAUCUUAUCAUUUAGAGGAAGGAGAAGUCGUAACA